CCAAUUACAUAUAAAAUAACUACUUUCCUCCACUUUGCGUUCUUUGUUUCAACAUCACUUGGCACCAAUUGAACUAGCUUAGCACCGUCCUUCACCACAAGAGCAACAUAGGAUAGAUCUAUACCGCGAGCAUUUAGCUUAGCACCAGUAAAUAGACUCUUCCAUUGUUGACCUUCUUGUGGUUGCUGCAAAUCUAGCUUUCUCUUCACUUUCA
rnacentral:lncRNA from 1 species